GAUGAACGCUAGCGGCAGGCUUAAUACAUGCAAGUCGAACGGGAUUGAGAAGCUUGCUUUUCAUGAGAGUGGCGCACGGGUGCGUAACACGUAUGCAACCUACCUUGUCCAGGGGGAUAGCCCGUUGAAAGACGGAUUAAGACCGCAUAACAUUGAGCUGUGGCAUCACAAAUCAAUCAAAUAUUUAUAGGGACAAGAUGGGCAUGCGCCUGAUUAGGUAGUUGGCGGGGUAAUGGCCCACCAAGCCGACGAUCAGUAGGGGAGCUGAGAGGAUGACCCCCCACACGGGUACUGAGACACGGACCAGACUCCUACGGGAGGCAGCAGUAAGGAAUAUUGGUCAAUGGGCGAAGGCCUGAACCAGCCAUGCCGCGUGCAGGAAGACGGCCCUACGGGUUGUAAACUGCUUUUAUACGGGAAUAACCCCGGUUUCGUGAAACCGGCUGAAUGUACCGUAAGAAUAAGGAUCGGCUAACUCCGUGCCAGCCGCCGCCGUAA
rnacentral:rRNA from 1 species